GGCUGGACUGAAGGUGGUGAGUUCUCUCAAUUGAUGGUUUACAGUCAGUUACAGAUUGAACUCCUUGUUCUAUUCUUGCCCCUUCUCACUACUGUACUUGACUAGUCUUAA
rnacentral:Y_RNA from 1 species